GGGUCUAAGAUUGUUUGAAGCUGCUGAAGCCUUCUACUUGGGGUCGAUGUUAAAUACGAAGAGAUAAUUGAAGCAACUUCAAUUGACUCCAGCAAAGUCUUACGGUCCUGCACUGCUCAGGUACUUGAGAUCAGGAGAAUGCCAAUUGAGGAACUUUGCCUUCAGUCUAUGAUAGGUCACUGCUCAGGUGCUUUUGGGGGUUUGGAAGCUAAUGCUAGAGUGUAAUCCAUACAAACAGGAUGGCUCCAUCAUUCCCUAAACCAAUUUGUUGUCCAUAUCAAAGGAGUUUGCACCUGUGGGGAGAAGACUCUUAAUGAUUAAAUUUUGCUGGCUGCAUCUGUAAAUUUUUAGUUAGUGUAUUUUUAUGAUGCAUUUUAAAAUAAUAUAAGGUACAGUACAAAAACUUUAAGGUGCCACCUGGCACCUUAUUUUUUUUAAUCCAGCCAAAUAAAUUUGCCACUAAUAUCAGUGGCAUUCCAAAGCCACUGAUGAUAUCAACACUGAUUUUGAUGCAA